UACGUAGGGCGCAAGCGUUGUCCGGAAUUAUUGGGCGUAAAGAGCUCGUAGGCGGCUUGUCACGUCGGGUGUGAAAGCCCCGGGCUCAACCUGGGAACGGCGCGCGAAACGGGGGGGCUGGAGUUCGGGAGAGGAGCGUGGAAUUCCCAGUGUAGAGGUGAAAUUCGUAGAUAUUGGGAAGAACACCGGUGGCGAAGGCGGCGCUCUGGACCGAGACUGACGCUGAGGCGCGAAAGCGUGGGGAGCAAACAGG
rnacentral:rRNA from 1 species